GAUGGGUGUCGCCGCCCAAUCAAAUUUGAUUGCAUAUAAGGAAUGCAGUAUAGCUAGGAAGUGACUCCUAGGUCGUCUCUCAAGGACCAAAUGGGGUUCAGGAAUUAGGUCUAACACGUAGUGGGGGGGUUUGUGAAAAGUGUUUUGAAUACAAAUNACUAAAUUAGAAUGGAAAUUAAACACAACCGGACAUAAUUGAAAGCAUUUAAGUAAAUGAAAACAUUAAACCNAACAGUCUUAAAGCAACGUGUUUGAACUAAUUAAAAUGCAGCAAGUAAAUAAAGAAACACAUGGUGUGAUAUUUAAAUGCAACAUUUAAACUAAAAAAAAAUAAAAAUAAAAUGUUAUUCAUCAUAGAAUCAACACUUAAAAAGAAAAAGNAUAACCAAGAAGAUAAAAUAAAAAUUGCUUAAACUGUAAAAUCUCUUUUCUAAAUAGGACAAUAAAAUUCUCUUCUCUCGGAACAACGUGCCCUGCAACUAAUCAAUGANCUCCACACUUCCUCCUUCAAAGGGAAAUAAAUGUGCUUGUAGAAAAGUUUAAUUCCAAAUGGAAAGGAAAUCUCCAUAUGUGCACCUUAUACCAUGACAGCAUUGUUUUCUCCAUUUAAAAAAAUAAAACGCUGCACCCUAAAUUCACGUGACUUUCUUGAAUGAUUUGAUAAAGGAAUUGCANCACUUUUACAAAGAUUAAGAAAAAGAAAAAAAAUAAAUAAAAGGCAAGGAAAAAUAAAAGGCAAGAAAAAUAAAGAUAAGGAAAAUGUUAUUCUCUCCUUCAACAAUAUUCCAUCACCGUCAACAUCAUAUGCCAAUGAAAUUAACAAUUUGAAAUUAAUGUAACCAUGUGCACCAGCAAAAAGGAAUUAACUGUGAGCUCCUUCAUCCAUAGUCAAACAAGGCAAUUAGAAGUUCCAUAAAAGAAAUACGUUCCAGCAGCAAAACUCUCCCCCCUCGUUCCCGUUGCAGCAACUCCUUUCUUUUCUUUUGUAUGNGACGGCUGCUGCUUCCAAUCCCUAGGGCAUGAGUCACUAUAUAAAAAUAGGAUGGGGUCCACCCAAUAACCCUAGGGUAUGACAUGUGUCUAUUUUUUACUAUUGGGCUCAACAACAAUUACCAAAAAUUGGCCCACAAUGUCAAAGUUUGUCUAAAAAUUCUAAACUACUAAAUUAAAAUACAACUAAUUCUAAAANGCUUAUGGAAGAGUCUUGAUUUAUUUUAUCUUCAUCCUGAUGCUCCAAAAUAUAUCUCCAAAAUUUUCC
rnacentral:lncRNA from 1 species